GGGACUGAAAAUAAUAAAAGUUUCAGCUUCUGUGCAUCGACUCAAGCUUUUGAUUGUACAUAUCCAUCUCCAGUCUCCCAAAUAUCCUUUUGCAAUUCUCACCGAAAUUGAUUAUACUUGUUAUUUUAAUUAGAGAUUUAUUAUUUGAACUUCGGAAAUGCAGAGCUAGUGAAAUACUCCAAACUAGUUUGUGAUCGUUCAUUUUCAUCGGUAUG
rnacentral:lncRNA from 1 species